rnacentral:rRNA from 1 species
CGAAAGCCUGACGGAGCAACGCCGCGUGAGGGAUGAAGGCCUCUGGGCUGUAAACCUCUUUUCUCAAGGAAGAAGAUCUGACGGUACUUGAGGAAUAAGCCACGGCUAAUUCCGUGCCAGCAGCCGCGGUAAUACGGGAGUGGCAAGCGUUAUCCGGGAUCAUUGGGCGUAAAGCGUCCGCAGGCGGCCUUGAAAGUCUGUCGUUAAAGCGUGGAGCUUAACUCCAUUUCAGCGAUGGAAACUACAAGGCUUGAGUGUGGUAGGGGCAGAGGGAAUUCCCGGUGUAGCGGUGAAAUGCGUAGAUAUCGGGAAGAACACCAGUGGCGAAGGCGCUCUGCUGGGCCAUAACUGACGCUCAUGGACGAAAGCCAGGGGAGCA